GAAAUGCUAUAUCUCACCUGAAGUGGACUUUUGCAGUCCCGCACGUUAAUUAAACACCUCUGUAGCACGUCAGUGAGUCAAACAUUUAUCAAAUAACACGAAAGACGACCCAAGAGAUUUACAUUUGAACAUCACAAUACUUCCGAGGACUUUCACACACAUCAAGUGAUAUUCCAGUAUUUUGAUUGCACUGUCCACAAUACCAGUCUUCAAUGAUACCAUCAAAAUUCAAGAUAUUUGGCAAUAUACCAGGAACUCUACGAUAAACUAAAGAGUAUUUAAAUAGAAGAAAUUAAUUAAAAAUUAUGUAUUCUCAGAUAACAUUUAUAUAAGCAUUGUAGGUGUAAUAUUUUUCCAAUUUCCAAUGAAAUUGUAGAAGCUUUUCGAAAUACCAAGGAUUCAAUUGCAAAAUAAAACAAUACCAAUACUUAUUUAUUAGCAAUUAAAAAAAACAAAGGAGAUUAAAUUCAAGAUAAUUACUAGAGAUUUAUUAUUCGAAAUUAUUAAUCUCCUGUAAUAAUAGUCCCCCAUAAUUGAAAGGACUUCACAUCUCAUAGUUUAUCAAUGAUUAAACAGCUUAAAUUGAAUAUGAAUAAAUCCAUUAUAAUUGAAUAAUGCAUCUUAAUAAACUUAAUCUAAACUUGUCGAAGAUAUCCUUUAUUUAUAUACUUCCAGAAUUGUAUAUAAUUAUUUUGCCAUUAUGUGAUUUUAUAUAUAGGAAACAUAGGAAAAUUUUAAGGGGGAAAUUUUAAUUUUUCGCGUUUUUCCAAUAUCUGUGAAGUAAAUAACUUAAAAUAUCCAUUACUAUAGUAAUUCCAAAGGCUAAUCUCAAAUAAAAUCAUUAACUUAGUCAAGCUUUAUAUUUGAUCUCUAAUUUAUUUAAUAAAACUGCAACAAAAAAAAAUUAUCCAAAUUUCUUUUUAAUGACAUUCACUUUGUAAAAAAAUAAGAAAUUCCUCGGGAAUUCCGUCAAAAGAAUAUUGGCUUAAAAGGAUACUUGUAAUUGGAGCACUUAAAUAAAAAUUAUGCUUCUUAAACGUAUAACUUCAGCGUUUUGUAUAAAAAUUCCAAACCUGUAAUAACCUUUAAAGUUUCACUAAUUCGAUUCUUGUAAAUAAAGCAAUAUGUAAACGUAAACUUCGGAAGAGAAACCCGUAAAACAUAGCUUAAAAAAUACACCGCACUCUGUCCGGGGCGUUAUCAUUCGCGUUUUUGGAGUUAAAAUGGCAGGGUAAGCCCAUGGAGAUCUGAUGAGUUUCCUUUGAGGAGCAGGGCCAUUUUUCCUAUAUGGGGAAGCAAACAUUUUAGUGUAAUCCAUCUAGAUUUAUGGCCUCAACAAACUAGAGAAUUUAAAAGUAUUUUUCAGAUUAUUAAAUUUCAUAGAUUAUUUAUAAGUAUCAAUAACGAAUUUUACAAGUUGUUGCACUUAUCUAGAGAAAAGUUCACAUGCUCCAUACGAUCCCAAGCUUCGUAAUGACUAAAUUUCUCAUAUCUUUCUCAAUAAAUGUGACUUAGUGCGCACCCAUAUUUCAAAAACUAGGGGAGAGUGUCCAGUUUUUAAAAUAUAUUGCGGAAUUACAUUUAUUCAAAAACAUUGCAAAAUCUUAUAGUCAUUCUCAUUACGAAGUUUCGAAUCGUACGAAGCAUGAACACUUUUUCUAUUACAUUAAAAGUAUUUUUAAAAGAAUAAAUGAUGAUUUUUUUUAUAAUUAAAAAGGAUUUAAACUUGAGGUAAAAUAAGUUUGAAAUAUUUUGUAAUAAUCAUGCUUUAUUUAAUUACAAAAAAGGUCGUAUCACGUUCGUAUCACUUCUAUUUAUUAUUAGGAAGUUUAACAAAAUUAUUUGAAUGUGAUUUGAAGAGAAUUAUAAUAAAUUAGUUAAUAUUAAUUACCAUUUUAGGUUUACCGAUUUUUUACCCGUUCCUAAAAAAGUUCGCUUUAAAGCAUCUUCUUCUUGGAAUAUUAAAAAAAUGGCUAAAGUGAUUUUACCUUAGAUACAUUCUGAAAUGUAUUUACAAUUGAAAAUUAUUUUUGUUUACCUCAUAAUAAUUAUGUGCAUCCAAGAAAUUAGUUAAAAUCAUUUAUCACGAUAGGUAUCAGUAAUUUUUAAAAACAGUCUCCAAGCAAUUUGUCAAAGUAUGUCACUUUGUGUAAAUCAACAGGUAUUCUAAUUAAAUAUCUUUCA